rnacentral:rRNA from 1 species
GACGAACGCUGGCGGCGUGCUUAACACAUGCAAGUCGUACGGUAAGGCCCUUUCGGGGGUACACGAGUGGCGAACGGGUGAGUAACACGUGAGUAACCUGCCCACAACUUUGGGAUAACGCUAGGAAACUGGUGCUAAUACUGGAUAUGUGCUCCUGCUGCAUGGUGGGGGUUGGAAAGCUCCGGCGGUUGUGGAUGGACUCGCGGCCUAUCAGCUUGUUGGUGGGGUAGUGGCCUACCAAGGCGGCGACGGGUAGCCGGCCUGAGAGGGUGACCGGCCACAUUUGGACUGAGAUACGGCCCAGACUCCUACGGGAGGCAGCAGUGGGGAAUAUUGCACAAUGGGCGCAAGCCUGAUGCAGCAACGCCGCGUUCGGGAUGACGGCCUUCGGGUUGUAAACCGCUUUCAGCAGGGACGAAGCUUUUUGUGACGGUACCUGCAGAAGAAGCACCGGCUAACUACGUG